ACCUUCGUGGUGUAAUCGUAGCACACUCGUCACCUAUUCGAGAGGUCAAGGUUCGAAUCCCGGCGAGGGCA
rnacentral:tRNA from 1 species